rnacentral:lncRNA from 1 species
GGUUUUCCUUCUAGACAAAUGAACUCUGCUACAGGUAUGGCUGCAAUUGCAGCUGCCACUGCUUGGUGGGCUGCGCAUGGACUGCUUUCCGUAUGUGCUCCUCUGCAGACUGGCUGUACUUGUGCUCCUGCAUCCACUGCUACAGUAACUCCUAUGGAGAAUGGUGAAGCUCCGGCUGCAAAGAUGGAAAGAAAAAUGUAUGCUGGUCAAGAUCCAUCCAUGCAGGAUCAACGGUUGGACCCUCAAUAUGCUGAAGCUAUGCAAUGUCAACGAUCAGCAUCUAAAUCACCUACAUCAUCAUCAGACCGUGAAGAGAGUGGUGAGGCAAAAGCAAAUACUGAAGUGAAAGCAACUGCAGUAACUGAGCCUCAAGAAC